UACGUAGGUGGCAAGCGUUAUCCGGAAUUACUGGGCGUAAAGCGCACGCAGGCGGCCUUUUAAGUUUGACGUGAAAGCUCCUGGCUUAACCGGGAGAGGUCGUUGAAGACUGGAAGGCUUGAGACGAUGAGAGGGGUGCAGAAUUCCCGGUGUAGUGGUGGAAUGCGUAGAUAUCGGGAGGAAUACCAGUGGCGAAGGCGGCACCCUGGCAUCGGUCUGACGCUCAUGUGCGAAGGCGUGGGGAGCGAACGGG
rnacentral:rRNA from 2 species